AAAGCGCAUAUGCUGUGAGCUCGAUGAGUAGGGCGGGACACGUGGUAUCCUGUCUGAAUAUGGGGGGACCAUCCUCCAAGGCUAAAUACUCCUGACUGACCGAUAGUGAACCAGUACCGUGAGGGAAAGGCGAAAAGAACCCCGGCGAGGGGAGUGAAACAGAACCUGAAACCGUGUACGUACAAGCAGUGGGAGCCCCACCACUAAGCCAGUGGUGAACUCCACAUACGCAUCCUUUGCGGAAGGUGCGGUUAACGGAGCGUAAGCGACGUUCAACCUCAAAAGAAGCAGAGGGGGCUUAGUGGUGG
rnacentral:rRNA from 1 species